GCGCGGUUAGCUCAGUUGGUAGAGCACUGCCUCGACACGGUAGGAGUCACUGGUUCAAGUCCAGUACUGCGCACCA
rnacentral:tRNA from 1 species